rnacentral:lncRNA from 1 species
AAAACACAACACAGCAGCUCUGCAGUAAAUGCACAAAGCACGAGGCCCUUGACUGAGUGUUCUUCAACUGGCUACCUUGACAACAUCCCAGGACCCGGAAAAAAUCUUCUUCUGAGAGAAAACCAGACAGCAUCUUCCACAAACUCUCAGCAAUCGACAAGUGGCCUGGAAGAUUGCCUGAAAAUGAUGCAACAAGUAUCUCAAUAUAAUUAUGCAGAAGCAAAUAAAGCAAGGAAGACAACCAACAAGAUUUCUGUUGACAGAUAUUAAACAAUUUGAAACAAUUGGAACUGUUUCUAUAUCAGAUAAGAAUAUGGAUCAUCU